rnacentral:rRNA from 1 species
GAGGAAUAUUGCUCAAUGGGAGAAAUCCUGAAGCAGCAACGCCGCGUGGAGGAUGAAGGGUCUAUGACUUGUAAACUCCUGUAAAGAAGGAAAAAAUUCCCAUUAGAUGGGAGAUGAUGGUACUUCUGGAGUAAGCCCCGGCUAACUACGUGCCAGCAGCCGCGGUAAUACGUAGGGGGCAAGCGUUGUCCGGAUUUACUGGGUGUAAAGGGUGCUCAGGCGGAUUUGUAAGUCAGAGGUGAAAUCUUACAGCUUAACUGUGAAACUGCCUUUGAUACUGCAAGCCUAGAGUAUGGAAGAGAGUGAUGGAAUAUCUGGUGUAGCAGUGAAAUGCGUAGAUAUCAGAUAGAACACCAAUGGCGAAGGCAGUCACUUGGUCCAUUACUGACGCUAAAGCACGAAGGCGUGGGUAGCAAACA